CAGUCGCCACGGUAAAACGUAGGUGGCAAGCGUUGUCCGGAAUUAUUGGGCGUAAAGGGCUCGCAGGCGGUUUCUUAAGUCUGAUGUGAAAGCCCCCGGCUCAACCGGGGAGGGUCAUUGGAAACUGGGAAACUUGAGUGCAGAAGAGGAGAGUGGAAUUCCACGUGUAGCGGUGAAAUGCGUAGAGAUGUGGAGGAACACCAGUGGCGAAGGCGACUCUCUGGUCUGUAACUGACGCUGAGGAGCGAAAGCGUGGGGAGCGAACAGGAUUAGAUACCCGUGUAGUCCCUGUCUCUUAUAC
rnacentral:rRNA from 1 species